rnacentral:rRNA from 1 species
GACGACGCUGGCGGCGUGCCUAAUACAUGCAAGUAGGACGAGUUGCGAACGGGUGAGUAACGCGUGGUAACCUGCCUAUUAGAGGGGGAUAACUACUGGAAACGGUAGCUAAUACCGCAUACCAUCGGAUGUGCCCAGAUGGGAUUAGCUAGGAGGGGGGGUAAAGGCUCACUUAGGCGACGCUCCCUAGCUGGUCUGAGAGGAUGACCAGCCACACCGGAACUGGGACACGGUCACGACUCCUACGGGAGGACGCAGUGGGAAAUAUUGCACAAGGGGCGCAAGCCUGAUGCAGCCAUGCCGCUUGUAUGAAGAAGGCCUUCGGGUUGUAAAGUACUUGCAGCGGUGAGGCGUUACCCGCAGAAGAAGCACCGGCUAACUCCGUGCCAGCAGCCGCGGUAAUUC